AGUGAACGCUGGCGGUAGGCCUAACACAUGCAAGUCGAACGGCAGCACAGUAAGAGCUUGCUCUUACGGGUGGCGAGUGGCGGACGGGUGAGGAAUACAUCGGAAUCUACUUUUUCGUGGGGGAUAACGUAGGGAAACUUACGCUAAUACCGCAUACGACCUACGGGUGAAAGCAGGGGAUCUUCGGACCUUGCGCGAUUGAAUGAGCCGAUGUCGGAUUAGCUAGUUGGCGGGGUAAAGGCCCACCAAGGCGACGAUCCGUAGCUGGUCUGAGAGGAUGAACAGCCACAAUGGAACUGAGACACGGUCCAGACUCCUACGGGAGGCAGCAGUGGGGAAUAUUGGCCAAUGGGCGCAAGCCUGAUCCAGGCAUACCGCGUGGGUGAAGGAGGCCUUCGGGUUGUAAAGCCCUUUUGUUGGGAAAGAAAAGCAGCAGGUUAAUACCCCGCUGUUCUGACGGUACCCAAAGAAUAAGCACCGGCUAACUUCGUG
rnacentral:rRNA from 1 species